rnacentral:rRNA from 1 species
AUACGGAGGGUGCAAGCGUUAUCCGGAUUUACUGGGUUUAAAGGGUGCGUAGGCGGACUUAUAAGUCAGUGGUGAAAGCUCGGAGCUUAACUCCGGAACUGCCAUUGAUACUGUUAGUCUUGAAUUUGGUAGAGGUAGGCGGAAUGUAACAUGUAGCGGUGAAAUGCAUAGAUAUGUUACAGAACACCGAUUGCGAAGGCAGCUUGCUAUGCCAAUAUUGACGCUGAGGCACGAAAGCGUGGGUAGCGAACAGGAUUAGAUACCCUGGUAGUCCACGCCCUAAACGAUGAUUACUCGACAUUAGCGAUAUACAGUUAGUGUCCUAGCGAAAGCGUUAAGUAAUCCACCUGGGGAGUACGUUCGCAAGAAUGAA